UGGGGAAUUUUCCGCAAUGGGCGAAAGCCUGACGGAGCAAUACCGCGUGAGGGAAGAAAGCCUACUGGGUUGUAAACCUCUUUUUUCAGGGAGGAAAAAACGACGUGUACCUGAAGAAUAAGCAUCGGCUAACUCCGUGCCAGCAGCCGCGGUAAGACAGAGGAUGCAAGUGUUAUCCGGAAUUACUGGGCGUAAAGCGUCUGUAGGUGGUUUAAUAAGUCAACUGUUAAAUCUUGAGGCUUAACUUCAAAACAGCAGUCGAAACUAUUAGACUAGAGUAUAGUAGGGGUAAAGGGAAUUUCCAGUGGAGCGGUGAAAUGCGUAGAUAUUGGAAAGAACACCGAUGGCGAAAGCACUUUACUGGGCUAUUACUAACACUCAGAGACGAAAGCUAGGGUAGCAAAUGGGAUUAGAUACCCCAGUAGUC
rnacentral:rRNA from 1 species